rnacentral:tRNA from 1 species
GCUCCGGUAGCUCAGUUUGGCAGAGCGCGGGGCUGUGGACCCCGAGGUCCCGGGUUCAAGUCCCGGCCGGAGCCCCA